GGUUAAGCGACUAAGCGUACACGGUGGAUGCCCUGGCAGUCAGAGGCGAUGAAGGACGUGCUAAUCUGCGAAAAGCGUCGGUAAGGUGAUAUGAACCGUUAUAACCGGCGAUGUCCGAAUGGGGAAACCCAGUGCAAUUCGUUGCACUAUCGUUAACUGAAUACAUAGGUUAACGAGGCGAACCGGGGGAACUGAAACAUCUAAGUACCCCGAGGAAAAGAAAUCAACCGAGAUUCCCCCAGUAGCGGCGAGCGAACGGGGAGCAGCCCAGAGUCUGAAUCAGCUUGUGUGUUAGUGGAACGGUCUGGAAAGUCCGACGGUACAGGGUGAUAGUCCCGUACACCAAAAUGCACAGGCUGUGAACUCGAAGAGUAGGGCGGGACACGUGGUAUCCUGUCUGAAUAUGGGGGGACCAUCCUCCAAGGCUAAAUACUCCUGACUGACCGAUAGUGAACCAGUACCGUGAGGGAAAGGCGAAAAGAACCCCGGCGAGGGGAGUGAAAAAGAACCUGAAACCGUGUACGUACAAGCAGUGGGAGCACCUUCGGGUGUGACUGCGUACCUUUUGUAUAAUGGGUCAGCGACUUAUAUUCUGUAGCAAGGUUAACCGUAUAGGGGAGCCGCAGGGAAACCGAGUCUUAACUGGGCGUUAAGUUGCAGGGUAUAGACCCGAAACCCGGUGAUCUAGCCAUGGGCAGGUUGAAGGUUGGGUAACACUAACUGGAGGACCGAACCGACUAAUGUUGAAAAAUUAGCGGAUGACUUGUGGCUGGGGGUGAAAGGCCAAUCAAACCGGGAGAUAGCUGGUUCUCCCCGAAAGCUAUUUAGGUAGCGCCUCGUGAACUCAUCUUCGGGGGUAGAGCACUGUUUCGGCUAGGGGGUCAUCCCGACUUACCAACCCGAUGCAAACUACGAAUACCGAAGAAUGUUAUCACGGGAGACACACGGCGGGUGCUAACGUCCGUCGUGAAGAGGGAAACAACCCAGACCGCCAGCUAAGGUCCCAAAGUCAUGGUUAAGUGGGAAACGAUGUGGGAAGGCACAGACAGCCAGGAUGUUGGCUUAGAAGCAGCCAUCAUUUAAAGAAAGCGUAAUAGCUCACUGGUCGAGUCGGCCUGCGCGGAAGAUGUAACGGGGCUAAACCAUGCACCGAAGCUGCGGCAGCGACACUAUGUGUUGUUGGGUAGGGGAGCGUUCUGUAAGCCUGCGAAGGUGACCUGUGAGGGUUGCUGGAGGUAUCAGAAGUGCGAAUGCUGACAUAAGUAACGAUAAAGCGGGUGAAAAGCCCGCUCGCCGGAAGACCAAGGGUUCCUGUCCAACGUUAAUCGGGGCAGGGUGAGUCGACCCCUAAGGCGAGGCCGAAAGGCGUAGUCGAUGGGAAACAGGUUAAUAUUCCUGUACUUGGUGUUACUGCGAAGGGGGGACGGAGAAGGCUAUGUUAGCCGGGCGACGGUUGUCCCGGUUUAAGCAUGUAGGCUGGUUGUCCAGGCAAAUCCGGAUAAUCAAGGCUGAGGUGUGAUGACGAGGCACUACGGUGCUGAAGUAACAAAUGCCCUGCUUCCAGGAAAAGCCUCUAAGCAUCAGGUAACAUUAAAUCGUACCCCAAACCGACACAGGUGGUCAGGUAGAGAAUACCAAGGCGCUUGAGAGAACUCGGGUGAAGGAACUAGGCAAAAUGGUGCCGUAACUUCGGGAGAAGGCACGCUGGUGUGUAGGUGAAGCCCCUGCGGGUGGAGCUGAGACCAGUCGAAGAUACCAGCUGGCUGCAACUGUUUAUUAAAAACACAGCACUGUGCAAACACGAAAGUGGACGUAUACGGUGUGACGCCUGCCCGGUGCCGGAAGGUUAAUUGAUGGGGUUAUCCGUAAGGAGAAGCUCUUGAUCGAAGCCCCGGUAAACGGCGGCCGUAACUAUAACGGUCCUAAGGUAGCGAAAUUCCUUGUCGGGUAAGUUCCGACCUGCACGAAUGGCGUAAUGAUGGCCAGGCUGUCUCCACCCGAGACUCAGUGAAAUUGAACUCGCUGUGAAGAUGCAGUGUACCCGCGGCAAGACGGAAAGACCCCGUGAACCUUUACUAUAGCUUGACACUGAACAUUGAGCCUUGAUGUGUAGGAUAGGUGGGAGGCUUUGAAGCGUGGACGCCAGUCUGCGUGGAGCCAACCUUGAAAUACCACCCUUUAAUGUUUGAUGUUCUAACGUUGGCCCCUGACCGGGGUUGCGGACAGUGUCUGGUGGGUAGUUUGACUGGGGCGGUCUCCUCCCAAAGCGUAACGGAGGAGCACGAAGGUUAGCUAAUCCUGGUCGGACAUCAGGAGGUUAGUGCAAUGGCAUAAGCUAGCUUGACUGCGAGCGUGACGGCGCGAGCAGGUGCGAAAGCAGGUCAUAGUGAUCCGGUGGUUCUGAAUGGAAGGGCCAUCGCUCAACGGAUAAAAGGUACUCCGGGGAUAACAGGCUGAUACCGCCCAAGAGUUCAUAUCGACGGCGGUGUUUGGCACCUCGAUGUCGGCUCAUCACAUCCUGGGGCUGAAGUAGGUCCCAAGGGUAUGGCUGUUCGCCAUUUAAAGUGGUACGCGAGCUGGGUUUAGAACGUCGUGAGACAGUUCGGUCCCUAUCUGCCGUGGGCGCUGGAGAAUUGAGGGGGGCUGCUCCUAGUACGAGAGGACCGGAGUGGACGCAUCACUGGUGUUCGGGUUGUCAUGCCAAUGGCACUGCCCGGUAGCUAAAUGCGGAAGAGAUAAGUGCUGAAAGCAUCUAAGCACGAAACUUGCCCCGAGAUGAGUUCUCCCUGAGACUUUAAGUCUCCUGAAGGAACGUUAAAGACGAUGACGUUGAUAGGCCGGGUGUGUAAGCGCAGCGAUGCGUUGAGCUAACCGGUACUAAUGAACCGUGAGGCUUAACCUU
rnacentral:rRNA from 1 species